GGGCUCUUAAAAGGAUUCUAAGAUAGUACACAUACUAGAGGGGGAAGAACUUAUUGACUAAAGAGUAAAGUGAGAGUGUAGGACACGAGUUGGAAAGGUCCACUAGAGACUGUUUUGAAAGCAAUUAGUAAUGCAACAGAGGUUGUUUGAAAAGAGGUGGGAGCGGUAAAAAAUCAAGCACUUCAGGAUAGGAUCACACACAAAAUCCAAAUGAAUUCAGUAGUCACCCAGGGGUCAAAGGGUUUGGGGAUAAACAGACAUUGGACUUCAAAUAUAUAACCCCAGCAAGGGUCUUAGGACUGGUUUAGACAUGCUCAGAGAUAAUUGACACUAGCAUAAUCACAAACCAAUCAGGAGAAACAUAAACACAUAGAGAGGAAUAGGGAUUUAGGAUUCAUAAGAUGUUAAGUAC
rnacentral:lncRNA from 1 species